CGACGGUAGCAAAGCACGAGGAUGCUUGCAAAGUGAACAUCUCCCGUGGGAGAAAAAGGUGGCGCGGCAACCCAGAUGCAAAGCCCAGGCGGCGACCUGGACGGCGGUGCCCCCUCCGCGGCCACCACCGCCGCCGCCGCCUCCUCCUCCUCCUCUUCCACCCCCUCGCCAAUGGCGCCGGGAGGAGUCGGAGAGGGCAAUGGCCGUGGCCGGGCCCCGGAUGGCGUCUCCAGCAUGAACCCACGGCGGCCCCAGGAACUGCUGGAGGAGGUGGAGAAACUGCGGGAGGAGAACGACACCCUCAAGAAUGAGAUAGAUGAGAUGAGAACUGAAAUGGAUGAGAUGAGGGACAGCUUUUUUGAAGAGGAUGCAUGCCAGCUACAGGAAAUGCGUCAUGAAUUGGAGAGGGCUAACAAAAAUUGUAGGAUUCUACAGUAUCGCCUUCGGAAGGCAGAGCGCAAAAGGCUUCGUUAUGCACAAACUGGAGAGAUUGACGGAGAACUUCUUCGUAGUUUGGAGCAGGACUUGAAGGUUGCAAAAGAUGUUUCUGUGAGACUUCAUCACGAGCUGGAAAAUGUGGAAGAAAAACGCACCACCACAGAAGAUGAAAAUGAAAAGUUACGACAGCAAUUAAUAGAAGUAGAAAUUACAAAACAAGCUCUGCAAAAUGAACUUGACAAAAUGAAAGAGCAGUCCAUGAAAAGAAGAGGAAGCAAAGAUUUGCAGAAAUCAGAAAAAAAACAGCAGACUCCCACUGAGGAGGAUAAUGAAGAUCUGAAAUGCCAGUUGCAAUUUGUCAAAGAAGAAGCAGCUUUAAUGAGGAAAAAGUUGGCCAAAAUAGACAAGGAAAAGGAUAGAUUUGAACAUGACCUACAAAAGUACAGAUCAUUAUAUGGUGACUUAGAUAGUCCCUUACCAAAGGGGGAAGCUGGAGGCCCACCUACCACAAGAGAAGCCGAACUGAAACUUCGUCUGAGGUUAGUUGAGGAAGAAGCCAAUAUCCUGGGAAGGAAAAUAGUGGAACUGGAAGUAGAAAACAGAGGGUUGAAGGCAGAACUUGAUGACUUAAGAGGAGAUGAUUUCUCAGGAGCAGCCAAUCCCCUAAUGGGGGAACAGAAUGAAUCUCUCUCAGAGUUACGACAGCAUCUGCAGUUAGUUGAGGAUGAAACAGAACUAUUGAGAAGGAACCUGGCUGACGUGGAAGAGCAAAAUAAGCGCAUCACAACAGAGUUGAACAAAUACAAAUACAAGACUGGGACUCACGAUACUUCAAGGCAUCAUGACAGUGCCAAGACAGAAGCUUUGCAAGAAGAGCUCAAAGCUGCCCGCCUGCAGAUCAAUGAACUCAGUGGUAAAGUUAUGCAACUUCAGUAUGAGAACAGAGUCCUGAUGUCCAACAUGCAGCGCUAUGAUCUGGCCUCACAUCUGGGGAUCCGAGGCAGCCCCAGGGACAGCGAUGCUGAAAGUGAUGCAGGGAAAAAAGAAAGUGAUGAUGAUUCACGUCCCCCCCAUCGCAAAAGAGAAGGGCCAAUUGGUGGGGAAAGCGACUCGGAGGAGGUCCGCAACAUCCGCUGCUUGACCCCUACGAGGUCCUUCUAUCCAACACCGACAGGGUGGCAAAAAAGUUUCACGGACCGUCAGCAAAUGAAGGAUAUUCGCUGUGAGGCGGAACGCUUGGGCAAGACGAUAGACCGCCUGAUUUCAGACACAAGCACUAUCAUAACUGAAGCAAGAAUUUAUGUCGCCAACGGAGAUCUGUUUGGACUUAUGGAUGAUGAGGAUGAUGGCAGUAGGAUACGGGAACACGAACUUCUUUAUCGGAUCAAUGCCCAGAUGAAGGCCUUUAGGAAAGAGCUCCAAGCUUUUAUCGACAGACUAGAAGUUCCAAAAUCUUCAGAUGAACGAAGUGCAGACGAACCUUUGUCAGUGAGUCAGAUAAAAAGUGCAAGAGUUGUAGUUUCUGUAGCAAUCGCUGCUGUAAAAACACUGAAGACUAUUUGUUCGAAAACAAUGGGAACAAUCCUUACCUUCCAAAAUGUGGAUAAUAAAAGAACUAAAAAAACAAAUAUUCCCACCACUGAACCUGACUUCUGCUUAUCAGAAAAGGUCUUGUCCUUUCCAGAACCGGAAGCCCAUGCCCCAUGCCUUUCCUACUAUUUUAUGUUUGAAUUGAAAUGCUUCUGAAGGGAUUCUUCACAUACUUAAAGUGUAACCAGAAGGCAAUUGAUGAAUAUCUUUUGAAAAUAAGGCUGUUUAUAUAGCACAGUACAACAACACUCUGCAUAUCUCAGCUUCAGUGUGGUGUGACUUGCCAUGUCAGAAUCACUGCUCACCAGAAAUACAAAGCUUUUACGAAGAGAAGAACAGCCAAGCAAGGAUACAAAUUGAAAGAAAUCAAUGUGAAGGAAAGCUCAUCCUUUGAAAGUUGCAAAAUGUCCAGAUGUUCUCAGAAGUGAGAACAAUGAACGGGAUAUUUCACUGAUGGUAAUCCAAGAGUCAAGUUAUAACCUAUUAUGGGUGACCACAUUUGCAUUGAAGUUUUCUAAAGUGGCUAAAUGAGAAUGGUGCAACUUGACUCGCCUGACCACCAGAUCUAUAUGGGCUUCUGGACUGCUAUCAGCACUACCUGCUAUGAGAAGAAUAACUGAAGGAACUCCCUUGAACUUUGGCUGAGGGAUCUCAGUGAAGCUAGGUUUACUUUCCAUGACCACAAUCACUUCUGUUCAAGUGCACAUUGGUCAAUAACCUCACUUUUUGACAUGCUGGAGAAAUGAUGUUGAUUCUUAGAUCACCCUUCCAGUCUUCAGUGUUUUUAUCAAUGAGAGAAGGAUACCCCUCCCAUCACGCAUAUAUAUAGAUAUUUAGAGCUCAUGCAUGGUAAAUUUUCCUUUAAAUGACAUGCUAAGGUUCCUCACCUCCAUACAUUUUUAAACAUUAAAUACUGUAUAACUCUGUACAUUCCGACUUUUCCCACAAACAGCAGGAAGACAUGCUGUGUGCAUGAUCAUGUGUUUAUAGGUGCAUGUGUUGGAAUAGGAAGUAUUACUAGUCUGUAUUUAGAUGACACAAAAUUAAUACUAUUGAUGCUGAAAUUAGACAUGCUUAUUUGUAGGCAUACACAUAUAGAAAUGAUACAUUUUGUGGUUUAUUUUAUUUGAAGAUAUAUAACUCUGGCAACAGGUACUUUCAAAAUACCUUUCACAGGUUUCACAGAUCCACUAUUUGAAAUAAAAAAAAUGAACGCAUGCAUUUUUGUAAUUGUAACAACAGAGAAAAGGCGUUCAUAUAAUAUGUACUACUUAGCUCAGUGGAUUGAUUUCUCAUUUAUGCUUAAUGCUCUUUUCCUCUUCUUUACAUUACUAGGUCAAAGUGAGCUGUGCAUAUUUUUUUGACUUCACUGAUCUACCACUUUUAACUGCAUUUACCUUUUUCAGCGCACAGACAUUUGUAAAGACGAUCAUCUCUCUUAACAUUCUGCCACUCAUGGUAACCAGAGACUGGUUUUCAGUGGAAUUACUAUCCAGCAACACUGUUGCGCAAAGGAGAAAGAAGCAGGGCCAUAUCUGUACAACAUCUUAGGGCAUAAAUAAAUCUUUUAAGAAAAUUCAGGCUUUCUGGUAACACUUGCCUUGUGUCAUGAUGUUGGUGCCCCUACCAAGUACUGUAUACUCAGUGAUACGGAUGUGCUCAUUGGGAGCUCACCCAUUAUAAUGAAGUCCAGAUGUGAAGGAAAAUGAACCAUGUGACCGAAUGGGAUGGCCAUCAUAAAUAGCCAUCCCUAUUUUGUAGGGAUGGCUUUAUGCCCUGUGAAGUUUUUUUCUGUGUUUAAACAAGUUUCUUUUUAAAUAACCUAAAAGUAUUGUCUUUUAAAGUGGUGUCCAAGAAAAUGCAGUGAUGUACCCUUACCUGGUGAUGUCCAGGAGUGUGUUUUAAUUUCUGUAAUUCCCAAUCAGCACAGCCUUGUACUGAAGUCCAAAAUAUUUGGAAGUCGACAAAUAAAAGGCUAGUGUAUAUAGUCAAUACAAAUGUUCCACAGAUGUGAAAGAUACACCCAUGGAUGAUGCUAUAUUUUCCCCUGUCUUAUUGAUCAGCAGCCAUCAGGAGACAAGGUUAAUCUAUUUUGAACAAAAGCAAAACAGAAAGUGCUCGGUAGAACACAGUUCUGUAUUCUUCUACGUGAAUCUGUUUUUAUUUUUGCUUUUUAAGACUUCUAGUGGUCAGAUUAAUCAUAUACAUUCUUCUCAUUGAAAUGGUUUUAGCAAUUAGGAAGUUUUGCUUAUGAAUUGUGCCUAGUAUCCAGUAUAGAUAUGUUUAAGGUGCUUGGAAUCCAGACUGAUUAUUAGUUAUCACCUGUGAUAGAUUGUUUUAAUACAGUAUGUGUAUAGCCUGAUUGAUUUUCUCUUCCAACAGUCUAAAUGAAAUAACAGAUCCUAUUAAAAUGCCUGGCUAAGUGUCAUGAAAUGGGCCCUCUUCCACCUUUGAAUUCUCAUCCCCUUGGAAUUUCAUACAAGGAAGGAGCAGACAGCAUUCAACUAGCCUUUUUAAAAUGUUUCUCCACAAGAAGGCAAGAGAAUAGGCCUGUGUGUAUUAAAUAAACCAUUUCAUGUCAACAAAAGCUAAAUUCUGCAACCUGUGAACUUACAUGAGCUAAGCAAAUUUGUUUCUACAGGUAAUCCUCAACUAACACCACAAUUGAGGCCAACAUUUCCAUUAUUAAACAAGACAGUUGUUAAGUGAAUUUUGCUCCAUUUUACAUUUCUUGCCACAGUUGUUGAGUGAAAAAAUGGAUGGAGGCAGGCAACACAUACUGUUGAUCCCAAUAUUGGUUCCGAAUGCUCUGGAUAAGCCCUGGGAAUCACAAAAGGAAUGCUAGUGUAUUACAUGCAAUUUGUUUAUUAGAUUUCUAUAGUUGCCCAUCUUAGCAAGUAAUCUUCAAGCUGCUUUUUGCUUUCUUAAUUGAUAUCGUCCAGUAUCUGGCAUCCUGGCCUUGACUCUUUUCCCUUGCAUUGUUGCAAGGUUAGAUUAGAUUAGCAACUUUCCAGAUGUUGGAAGAAUAUGGUUGGAACCUGAGCAGGAACAUUCCAGCUUGCAACAAUUCCAGGUACCAAAUUGUAGACAUCGUUGUGGCUAUCAGCAAGACAUAGGGUAUCUGAUGCAGUAAAUAUAGUCUGCCUUCUCCCACAAAAGAAAAAGCCACUGAAGAAAAAUCCUUACCACAGACUCUUGAACGAAUUCAGCAACUAUGGGAUAAGAGGGCAAGUGGUCACAUAGGAUAUGAAUCUAAGAACAGAAAGGAAAGGGUAAGAAUGAAUAGUUUUCAAAUUGGGGAGGUUCCAAUGGAAUUCCUAGAAAUCAAUGCAGGGACAAGUAUUUUUAACAAUUUAAGUUUUUAUAAUUAAUGUUAUGACACCCAAAAGGUCAAUAACAGAAAUGAAUGAUUGUUUUUAAAAAAACUUCUAGUAUUAUAUAAAUAUAUGUUUGUUUAAAACUUUA